rnacentral:rRNA from 1 species
AUUGAACGCUGGCGGCAUGCUUUACACAUGCAAGUCGAACGGUAACAGGUUAAGCUGACGAGUGGCGAACGGGUGAGUAAUGCAUCGGAACGUGCCCGAUCGUGGGGGAUAACGCAGCGAAAGCUGCGCUAAUACCGCAUACGAUCUGAGGAUGAAAGCGGGGGACCGUAAGGCCUCGCGCGAUCGGAGCGGCCGAUGUCAGAUUAGGUAGUUGGUGGGGUAAAGGCUCACCAAGCCGACGAUCUGUAGCUGGUCUGAGAGGACGACCAGCCACACUGGGACUGAGACACGGCCCAGACUCCUACGGGAGGCAGCAGUGGGGAAUUUUGGACAAUGGGCGCAAGCCUGAUCCAGCAAUGCCGCGUGCAGGAAGAAGGCCUUCGGGUUGUAAACUGCUUUUGUACGGAGCGAAAAGGCUUUCUCUAAUACAGGAGGCUGAUGACGGUACCGUAAGAAUAAGCACCGGCUAACUACGUGCCAGCCGCCGCCGUAACAC